CACGUAGGGCGCAAGCGUUGUCCGGAAUUAUUGGGCGUAAAGAGCUCGUAGGCGGUCUGUUGCGUCCGCUGUGAAAUCUCGGGGCUUAACCCCGAGCCUGCAGUGGAUACGGGCAGACUAGAGGUAGGUAGGGGAGAAUGGAAUUCCCGGUGUAGCGGUGAAAUGCGCAGAUAUCGGGAGGAACACCGGUGGCGAAGGCGGUUCUCUGGGCCUUACCUGACGCUGAGGUGCGAAAGCGUGGGGAGCAAACAGG
rnacentral:rRNA from 1 species